rnacentral:rRNA from 1 species
AUGAACGCUGGCGGCGUGCCUAAUCCAUGCAAGUCGAGCGAACAGAUGAGGAGCUUGCUCCUCUGACGUUAGCGGCGGACGGGUGAGUAACACGUGGAUAACCUACCUAUAAGACUGGGAUAACUUCGGGAAACCGGAGCUAAUACCGGAUAAUAUAUUGAACCGCAUGGUUCAAUAGUGAAAGACGGUUUUGCUGUCACUUAUAGAUGGAUCCGCGCCGCAUUAGCUAGUUGGUAAGGUAACGGCUUACCAAGGCAACGAUGCGUAGCCGACCUGAGAGGGUGGUCGGCCACACUGGGACUGGGACACGGUCCAGACUCCUACGGGAGGGCGCAGGAGGGAAUCUUCCGGAAUGGGCGGAAGCCUGGCGGAGCCACGCCGCGUGAGUGAUGAAGGUCUUCGGAUCGUAAAACUCUGGUAUUAGGGAAGAACAAAUGUGUAAGUAACUAUGCACGUCUUGACGGUACCUAAUCAGAAAGCCACGGCUAACUACGUG